rnacentral:lncRNA from 1 species
UGAUGCUGUUGGAAUGAUGGUGAUUAGUUGCUAUGUUGAUGAUACUUGUUGAAAAUUGUUUUAUUCAUGUAUUUUUAAACUCAAUUCACAUAAGUGACAUAUGGGAUGUCAGGAAGAUGAUGAUGUUGUUAAUUAACAUGAUACUACUCAUGUCCUUAUUCCAUCCUGUUUCUCCUUUUGGUUUGUUUGGCAUGAUGCAAGUAAUGUGAGAUGAUGAAGAUGCAAAUAAGUGGUAUGAGAGGAUGAUGAGUUUGUGUGGGCCAAAGCCAAAUGCAAUCCUCUUUUUUCUUUUUUGUAUAUUUUUUAUUUUCCUUUAUUCUAAUGUAAAGACAAACUAUAUGCAGCAUAAAAUGUAAAAUGCCUUCUUUUUCAACUUGAAUUAUUUCUAGAACCAAAAUCCCUUUUCAUUUAUUAAUUCUCUCUUUUAUUUAUUUAUAAAAUGAUGUAAUCGAUGUGCAAUGCAAAC